UGCUAUACAUGCAAGUCGAGCGGACCGACGGGAGCUUGCUCCCUUAGGUCAGCGGCGGACGGGUGAGUAACACGUGGGUAACCUGCCUGUAAGACUGGGAUAACUCCGGGAAACCGGGGCUAAUACCGGAUGCUUGAUUGAACCGCAUGGUUCAAUCAUAAAAGGGGGCUUUUAGCUACCACUUACAGAUGGACCCGCGGCGCAUUAGCUAGUUGGUGAGGUAACGGCUCACCAAGGCGACGAUGCGUAGCCGACCUGAGAGGGUGAUCGGCCACACUGGGACUGAGACACGGCCCAGACUCCUACGGGAGGCAGCAGUAGGGAAUCUUCCGCAAUGGACGAAAGUCUGACGGAGCAACGCCGCGUGAGUGAUGAAGGUUUUCGGAUCGUAAAACUCUGUUGUUAGGGAAGAACAAGUACCGUUCGAAUAGGGCGGUACCUUGACGGUACCUAACCAGAAAGCCACGGCUAACUACGUGCCAGCAGCCGCGGUAAUACGUAGGUGGCAAGCGUUGUCCGGAAUUAUUGGGCGUAAAGCGCGCGCAGGCGGUUUCUUAAGUCUGGAUGUGAAAGCCCCCGGCUCAACCGGGGAGGGUCAUUGGAAACUGGGGAACUUGAGUGCAGAAGAGGAGAGUGGAAUUCCACGUGUAGCGGUGAAAUGCGUAGAGAUGUGGAGGAACACCAGUGGCGAAGGCGACUCUCUGGUCUGUAACUGACG
rnacentral:rRNA from 1 species